GUCUGAGGUAGUUUGUGGGGGGGGCUGGGUGAUAUUUCUACGUCGACCGGAGAACGUGGUGUUUUUUUAUAUACUCGUGUUAGUUGGAUUUUAUCGUGUUGGGGAAAACACGUACGUGUUAUUGCGUACUCGGGUGAUAGCAUAUAUUAGUGAUGGGUAUUCAAGCCACCGACAUGUGGAUGGUAAACGAGCCUAUAAGGAAAAGGAUAUUGCCCCGCUUUUGUUUACAAGAGGAUAGGUAAAUAGAGAAGACAGAAGCAAACGGAUUGAUAGACCGGUAUGACCCGAUUUCUGAAAUGAAUGACAAAUACGUAGCAUCGAAGGUUUGGAUUCCUGGACUGAAAGAAACCAAUUGAGUUUUUAACUCCACUACAGAGGCGAGUGCAGUUCUGUUUUUCCAGACUUCUGAUUAUCUCAUGGAUUUCCCUUAGGUCUCUCUAAACUUGAGAGUAGUAACAAACUGACUGCAAAGCAAUGUUGAAUUAUAAUUAUACUCAUAAUUUUCAUUUGUAAGGUUUGACUGGAAAUAAGUAAGAAUAUUGUUCAGGAAAUUACGUUUAUAUUAGUGGCUUUCCUUUACGGAGAACUGAAAUGGUUACAGUACCAAGUCCUAUCGUAAGACUUUGGUGUAUGAGAAUACAAACUUGAGAUUGAUAACAAACUUUGACUUUAAAGCUAAUUGAAUUAUAUUCAUCCACAUUAUUUUUAUUCGUAAGGUUUGAUUCGAAAUAAUAAAUUGUAGUAAACUAAAUUGACGUUAGUGGCUUUCCUUUAUGGAGAACUGAACUGGUUACAAUACCUAGCCUUGUUGUAUGACUUGAA